UGGGAAAUUUGGGGAGAGUCGGGUAGCUGCUCAUGGAUUCCUGGGUAUAAAAACGUCUGCAAGUCACUGUGAGUGCAGAUGCUGAUGGACAGACUAUUUCUCAGCUUUUGAGAGAGGCAAAGCAUGGGGCACCUGGAAAUGCCACUUCCAGCUUUGACCAGGUCAGCCUUCCCUAGCUAGAGAGAUUCUGAUCUCCCCUCCUGAUGCUGGGCAGGGGCAGCAAGCCGCAGUGCCCAGUGAGCCCACGACGGGACACACUCCUGUUAUGCUCCACACCACCGCGCCUGGACAUGUGACAGAGCACCAAGCACUGAGCUGAGAAAUACCUACAUUUACCCUCAAAGGACUAUCAACUGCAGCUUCUCCAUCCGCUCCCUUGGUGGUGCUGGGGAUGUAGUCGGGAAAGAAAAUGCUCUGCCACCACACUGCAUCCCAGCCCCGGCUGAAACUCUACAAGGCUGCCUAUACACAGUCCACUCAGGGUCGUAAGGAGCAAUUUCGAGGCCAGGAAUGCAGUACAGCAGUGGACACCCGCCUAACAGGUGACGCCCUGGUCCUCACCCCUCACAGCACAAAAUGAAAUGAAAUAAAACAAACCCUACAAA